CUUGGUCAUUUAGAGGAAGUAAAAGUCGUAACAAGGUUUCCUUCCCCCUAUUGAAGCCUUCCGCAGCGACUUGAUAAAUAACUGCGCAGCCUGCUUUGCAGACCACACCACGAAAGUGCUAGGACUUGAUCAACUUCGAGUACCAGCAGCCUAGAGUUCUAGGUCCACAGAUCAUGUAGUGGUGGUCAUUUAUGAUUGAGAUAUGACCGGUCUUAACUAAUUCUAGUUAAGAAUCAACGUUCCGUAGGUGAACCUGCGGAAGGAUCAUUAUUGAAAAGGGAACCCUUCGGGGUUCAACCUUAAACCCUUUGUCUUAAUUACCUGUUUCUUUGGCGGGCUCGCCCGUCAGAAGUUUUCUCAAACCCAUUAUAAAUGUGUCAUCUGAAUAACAAAAUAAAUUAAAACUUUCAACAACGGAUCUCUUGGUUCUGGCAUCGAUGAAGAACGCAGCGAAAUGCGAUAAGUAAUGUGAAUUGCAGAAUUCAGUGAAUCAUCGAAUCUUUGAACGCAUAUUGCGCCCUUUGGCAUUCCGAAGGGCAUACCUGUUCGAGCGUCAUUACACCCCUCAAGUCAAACUUUUUGGUUAACUUGGUGUUGGGCCUUGCCGGAAGGCAUGCCUAAAAAUUAGCAAUGGUACGUUAAACCACGGACGCACAAAUGUCGUUACGUAGGGGCACGGCACCAGUCUAAUGAUUAAUUUCUCAAUGUUGACCUCGGAUCAGGUAGGAAUACCCGCUGAACUUAAGCAUAUCAAUAAGCGGAGGA
rnacentral:rRNA from 1 species